GCCUCCUCGGGGCGCCUGCGCGGUCCGGGCUGCCUGCGCAGUCAGGCCGGCUGCGUCUCUGAUCCCGCAGAGGUUCGCAGGUGGUUUGAGGCGCCACACUGUGCAGAGCGCUGCGAGUAGACCUGCAGCCGGGCGGACGCGGGAGGGAGGGCUUCAGGACUCUGCGCCGGGCCGCUUUUCCCAGGAGGACUUGGCGCAGCGGCUCCUAAGGCCGCGGAGGGCGCGAGAGAGCCCGAAGGGCGUGGAGCGUGCGCAGAUGCGACCCUGACCGCGACUCCUGCUCGGAUCCCCGACUCAGACCAGGACUUCGACCCCAACUCCCGCCUGGAUCCCCGACCCUAACUCCGACUCCCCCCCCGGGACCAGGACUCUGACCCCGACUCCGAUCCGCAGACCCAGUCAGGUCUUGGCGCGGGGAGGGUGCUGCCCAGGGGAGGGCUUUGCUGGUGCAGCCUCUGGCCCCUGGGCGGUGCCUGGAAGGUCCUGCGCGCUAGAGGACGAGGAAGGGGCCUCGGGUAAGAGCAGGGUCUUCAGAAGAGGGUAGCAGACGGCUGGCAUUCUUGUCCUUCAAGAUGCUUAAUUUCGGAGAGGUUACAACCUUCUCCUGGAGGCAGGCGGACUCACUCUGGAAGUCGUGCCCAUCUCUUGUGUCCAGGAUCACAGCCCAAGAGAAGUAGGCCACUCUCGUCCCUGGGGAAAGGGCAGGGGUCUGAGGCAUCCUGCCCUUGGGAUUCCGUACCCUAUGGUCCCUCUUUCGCGGCCCACCUGAGGUCUGGUGCUUGAAUGCUUAGCUCUGAGACUGCUGGUUGUGUUACAGGGUCACUUCAGCUUGUUUCUCUGUUUUUCUGUAUUCCCCAGAUUCCUGGUCGCUCAAGGAGAGCCAGUUCUCCUAACUGCUACCUAGUGCCUGGCGCCAUGUCAAACAUUCAUUUACUCUUCACAGGUGUGCAGACUCCUUUUAUGUCUGUUUUACAGAGAGGGAAACAGAUUUAGAGCAAUUUAAAGUAAGCUCCCGAGGUUACAGCUAAGGAGUCAUGAGCAGAAUUUCAGAGCUCGUUUGACUGUUUGCAGGGCCUGUGCUCUCCGACCUAUGGAUUCAGGUGUGACAGGAGUGACAGGUAUGACACACGUCAGCCAUCCUUCCCCCACAGUCGUGAAGCUAGAAAGGUUUGGGGACUUUUUAAGUGAAGUGUCCCGAGCAUUGGCCCUUGGCUGCAGGCCUGGCUGGUUGUGGGGAGUGGCUGCCCCCGACCUGCACAGGGGCCCCCCUUCCUUUCUCACGUUCUCUCUUCACAGCCCAGUUUCCUCCUUCAGCGUUUUUCUUCCCUGGGUAAAUUGUCCCACCCACGUUCUGCCCUCCGCAGACCAGUCCCGUGACUAUGACCAGGCUUCCGACAGUGGUUUCUUGCACGCUCGCACCCUAUCAAAGCUUGUGCAACUCCUCCAGACAGGAAGUAACCAAGCCCCACACUCACCCAUUCUCUCCAGGCAGCACAGCAGAUCUGUGACUCAGAGCCUUCCGUGUUUGGGGAGAACACAAGAUGCAACCCUAUUAACGUUGUUUAAAAGUGUUGGAAGCUAACCUCUUUGCAAGAGUUAGUUGGAAGCUGUGCAGGAAGAUGGCAGGAGCCGGGCUUUGGAGAAAGAGUGCUGGCUUAUGUCCUUCCAAGUCUGUGACCUUGAGCAAGGGAUUACCUUCUCCAAACUUCACUUUUCUCAUCAGCAAAACAGGGAUAAAAUUAUCGUCAAAAGGAGGCUGAGAGUGUGUCCCACGGAGCUGUCAUAAAGGUAAAAUGCAAUAAAAGCAUGUGAAAGCAGGACUUCGUGAGUAGCCUGGUGACUAAGGAUCCAGCAUUUUCACUGCUGUGGCCCUUGUUCGAUCCCUGGCCCAGGAACUUCUGCAUGCCACAGGCACAGACAAAAAAAGCAUGUACGUGAAAGCAGCUUGUCCACAUCCAGGACGCUGUGGGAAGCGAGGUUCUGGGAAACAUCCAUUCAUUUAUCCAAGAGCAUUUACUUAACUGCUUUGAGGGCUGGCUGUGUCCCCCGCCUCAAGCGAGUGGUUGGCCUUGACUCUGAAACCUACUCUGCUUCAGUCCACGUCUGCAGGGGCCUCGGGAUGGGGGGUUUGGCUAGAGGAUUCAGGCGCCCUGUGGCCUGGACCUGGAAGAGAAGGGCCUGGGAGAGUGGCGUCUGCACUCCUGUCACCUGCUCCCUUUACUUUUUCUUUUUAGGGCCACACCCAUGGCAUAUGGAGGUUCCCAGGCUAGGGAUCAAAUCUGAGCUGCAGCUGCCAGCCUACACCGCAGCAACAGCAGCGCCAGAUCUGAGCCGCAUUUGCGACCUACAGCACAGCUCAUGGCAAUGCCAGAUCCUUAAUCCGCUGAGCGAGGCCCAGGAUCGAACCCACAUCCUCAGUGAUACUAGUGGGGUUCAUUUUGGCUGCGCCACGACGGGAACUCCUGCCUUACUUUUCUGUACCUCGUGACUUGUGUUUACUUGCUUGGGCUUCUCAGCCCUCUGAGCUCUACCCGGGGCCUCUGGCUCAGCUUCCUCCAAGUCCACCAGGCAUGCUCACAUGAACUGCCUCGCCUCCAGGCCUGACCUAGGCCUCUGCCUGGCUUCCUGAUACCACGGUGCAAAGCCUGGCCUCAGGAAGUGGAGGGGCCGCAGGGAGGGAAGAGGAUCGGGGGCCCCCCAUGCUCUUGCGGUCCCUCCAGCUCCACGCUUGAUCCUUGGUGUGGAGGAGUCCUGGCUCCUCUCCCCGCCGAGGGGCUGCAUGCAGGGCCUCAGUCAGGCUGCUCAGGGGACGUACACCCAUCGCCCUGUCUGUGAAAAUAGGAACAGUGCUUUAGCAGUAUGGGGACAGAAGUGAUCUUUGGGGUCAUAUUUGGUUUUAAGAGCUAUUGUAGUUCCCUCUUGCUCUUGCUGGUUAAGGAUCCGGCCUUGUGACUACCGUGGCUCGGGUUGGAUUCCUGGCCCCAGAACUUCCACAUGCCACUGCCAUAGCCAAGAAAGAAAAGAAAAGAAAAAAAGAUCUAGGCUUCAUUAUUAAUAUCAGAGCAAAUAACUAUUUCCCUUCCAAAUUAGGCAGCUUGGCAGCAACUAAAGGGCUAAACUUUCUAUUUAAGUAUUUAUUUAUUUUUUGCUGCCUCGAGGCAUAUGGAGUUCCCGGGCCAGGGAUCAGCUCCAAGCUGCAGUAGCACUUGCAGCCACGCCAGCUCAUUAGCCCAUGCUCCUGGUACCCUCGUGCCCCAGCAGGAAUUCCUAAACCUUUUUAGAGCCACACCAGCAGCAUACGGAGGUUCCCAGGCUGGGGACUGAAUCGGAGCUACAGCUGCCAGCCUGCACCACAGCCACACCCAUGCCAAGACCUGAGCCACGUCUGUGGCCUACACCACAGCUGUGGUCGAACCUGCAUCCUCAUGAUACUAGUCAGAUUCUUAACCUGCUGAGCCCCAAUGGGAACUCCCUCCUAAACUUUUUUUUUAAACACGGUGGCUCUGCAUCUGGCCUGGCCUUGGGGGUAAUGGCCGUACCUGUGACCUUCUGUCUGCCGCCUUGAAUGACCUGGACUGCACCUGGAGAUCUGGCUGAUAUCAGGAUGUUGUCUGUAAAAUACACCCUGUGGGACGUUUGAAUAAAGUCAUCGUGUGAAUGUUGGU
rnacentral:lncRNA from 1 species